rnacentral:pre_miRNA from 1 species
AGUUGGAUAGUUGGGUCACAUGGUGGAUCCAUUCCAAGUUUUCUGGGGAAUCUCCAUACUGCUUUCCGGAGUGGUUGCACCAUUUUGCAGUCCCGCCAGCAAU